UCUUCCUGGAGAUCUACUGUCCUGUAGGUUUUCAGUCCAACCCUCUUCCUGGAGAUCUACUGUCCUGUAGGUUUUCAGUCCAACCCUCUUCUUGGAGAUCUACUGUCCUGUAGGUUUUCAGUCCAACCCUCUUCUUGGAGAUCUACUGUCCUGUAGGUUUUCAGUCCAACCCUCUUCCUGGAGAUCUACUGUCCUGUAGGUUUUCAGUCCAACCCUCUUCCUGGAGAUCUACUGUCCUGUAGGUUUUCAGUCCAACCUUGAUUUAGCAUAUCUGAUUCAGCUGGUUAAGGUCUUGUUGAGCAGCUAAUUAGUAGAGUCAGGUGUGUUAAAUUAGGGUUGGACGUAAAACCCACAGGAUGGUAGAUCUCCGGGAAGAGGGUUGGGCAGCCCUGAGCUAAUCAAAUGACUACCCAGACUAUUUGAAUUGCCCCCCCUUCUUUAACUCUCUGUUUAUUAUCUAUGCAUAGUCACUUUAAUUGACUCUGUACCGGUACCCCCUGUAUAUAGCCUCGCUAUUGUUAUUUUACUGCUGCUCUUCAAUUACUUGUUUCUUUUAUUUUUUAUUCAUCUAUAUUUUACUUAACACUUAUUUUUCUUAAAGCUGCAUUGCUGAUUAAGGGCUUGUAAGUAAGCAUUUUAAUAUAAGGUCUAAUACACCUGUUGUAUUCUGCGCAUGUGACAAAUAAAACGUGAUUUGAUUUCAGAAACUUCAGAAAUUUCAGAACUAAAAUGUUGCAUAAUUGCGUCAAAUACUAAUUUUAUGUUAUGUAGUCUGUCCACACGAGAUUAGGAGUGGGACUUUGUCUUGUUUAGAUUCAGCAACAGUGGUGGAACUUUGAACCCAGACAGCAGAGCAGGGAGGAGCUACAGGAGGACGGCCUCAUUGUAUUGGCUGGAAUGUAGUAAAAUGGAACGGAGUCAAACACGGUUUCCAUAUGCUUGAUGUGUUUGAUACCGUUCCAAUGAUCCCAUUCCAGCCAUUACAAUGAGCCCGUCCUCCUAUAGAUCCUCAUACCAGCCUCCUCUGUCAGACAGAACAAACAGUACAUGUCCCUGACAUCUGAUCUGUACUACCAUGAAAGGCAGAGGAGAGAAAACACUAGAUCAUAUAAAGACUGGAACUAUCCUUAGCAUUACUGAAACAUCAACAGGCAGAGUGAGACAGAUAUGAUGCUGGCUGUGUGUGUCACUGUUGUCCUGGGCCUUCUCUCAGUGAGUGGCUCCCAGGCGGCCCCUUUAACCUGUGAGGAUCUCCUGAGACCACUGGAGCUGAGCAGUGUCAAUCAGACUCUGGGGAAGUGGAUGUAUAUUGCUGAGAGUUCGGAUGGUCCUUUCUGGGAACAAAUACUGUAUACCUUAUUACACAGUGCCUGGAUAGAGGUCUCUGUGCCGGUCGGUACCCAGAACAACAUUCUUGACAUCGCCCAGUUCUUUGGCAUCGGUAUUCCACAUCAAAAUGCUUUUCGAUUCAGAUGCUUCAGGAUCAACUCUAACUUUACUCUGCAUGACAAUAGCACAUGGACCUCAGUGACCCCCAGCCCUGUUACUGAGGUUCUCCUGACAACGUGCUCAGACUGUCUCCUGACCCUGGAGAGAUGGGAUGAGGAUGAGAAGACCUUCACCUCUCUAACACUCUACAGUAGGAGACGGGAGCUCACUGCUACUGAACUGGACUUCUAUAAGAAACAGGUGGAUUGUCUCAGUCUGCCACCAGCGACAUUCAUGGAUCCACAGAAAGAGCUCUGUCGCGACACAACUCCACUCUUAGAAGAUAAAAUUGCAAAGGAAGUUGAGAAUGCAGUUAAUUUUAUUUCAGAGAUUCCAAGAAUACUCAGAUAUACAUUUAAACAUUUAAUGAAUUAUGUUUAUUAGCCAUUUUCAAUGUUUUUUGUGUUUGAUGAGUAGUUGCCUCCUCUCUGAUUGGUUUGCUGCCCACCAUGUAUUCUACAGUAACCCAGGGUUACAGUACCUAACCCAGCAUACCUGUAAACAGUCCCUGAUGCCUUGAUGUGGGACCAAACUCCACUCUGCUCAUGUUGCUCUACAUUCAACACAAUAAAUCCAGAUUAAGACAAAUGUGA